UGGGGAAUCUUGGACAAUGGGGGCAACCCUGAUCCAGCCAUGCCGCGUGAGUGAUGAAGGCCUUAGGGUCGUAAAGCUCUUUCGCCUGUGAAGAUAAUGACGGUAGCAGGUAAAGAAACCCCGGCUAACUCCGUGCCAGCAGCCGCGGUAAUACGGAGGGGGUUAGCGUUGUUCGGAAUUACUGGGCGUAAAGCGCACGUAGGCGGACCAGAAAGUUGGGGGAUGAAAUCCCGGGGGCUCAACCCCGGAACUGCCUCCAAAACUAUUGGUCUAGAGUUCGAGAGAGGUGAGUGGAAUUCCAAGUGUAGAGGUGAAAUUCGUAGAUAUUUGGAGGAACACCAGUGGCGAAGGCGGCUCACUGGCUCGAUACUGACGCUGAGGUGCGAAAGUGUGGGGAGCAAACAGGAUUAGAUACCCUGGGUAGUCCACACCGUAAAACGAUGAAUGCCAGUCGUCGGGUAGCAUGCUAUUCGGUGACACACCUAACGGAUUAAGCAUUCCGGCC
rnacentral:rRNA from 1 species